CCAAUAGCGUAUAUUAAAGUUGUUGCAGUUAAAAAGCUCGUAGUUGAAUUUCGGGAUUAGUGCGCUGGUCAUGCCUUUGGUAUGUACUGGUGUUACUGAUUUCUACCUUCUGAAGAACCGUUAUGUCAUUUAUUUGGUGUGGCGGGGAAUCAGGACUGUUACUUUGAAAAAAUUAGAGUGUUUAAAGCAGGCUCGCGCUUGAAUACAUUAGCAUGGAAUAAUGAAAUAGGACGUUUGACCCUAUUUUGUUGGUUUCUAGGAUCGACGUAAUGAUUAAUAGGGAUAGUUGGGGGCAUUAGUAUUCAAUUGUCAGAGGUGAAAUUCUUGGAUUUAUUGAAGACUAACUACUGCGAAAGCAUUUGCCAAGGAUGUUUUCAUUAAUCAAGAACGAAAGUUAGGGGAUCGAAGACGAUCAGAUACCGUCGUAGUCUUAACCAUAAACUAUGCCGACUAGGGAUCGGAUGAUGUUAUUUUUAAUGACUCAUUCGGCGCCUUACG
rnacentral:rRNA from 1 species